CAGUAGCCACGGGAAUACGGAGGGUGCAAGCGUUAAUCGGAAUUACUGGGCGUAAAGCGCACGCAGGCGGUCUGUCAAGUCGGAUGUGAAAUCCCUGAGCUUAACUUAGGAAUUGCAUUCGAUACUGGGAAGCUAGAGUAUGGGAGAGGAUGGUAGAAUUCCAGGUGUAGCGGUGAAAUGCGUAGAGAUCUGGAGGAAUACCGAUGGCGAAGGCAGCCAUCUGGCCUAAUACUGACGCUGAGGUACGAAAGCAUGGGGAGCAAACAGGAUUAGAUACCCGAGUAGUCCCUGUCUCUUAUAC
rnacentral:rRNA from 1 species